UGAUGCUGUAGGAAUUUUCUUUGACUUC
rnacentral:piRNA from 2 species